rnacentral:rRNA from 1 species
CGUAGGUGAACCUGCGGAGGGAUCAUUACCGAGUUUACAACUCCCAAACCCCUGUGAACAUACCACUUGUUGCCUCGGCGGAUCAGCCCGCUCCCGGUAAAACGGGACGGCCCGCCAGAGGACCCCUAAACUCUGUUUCUAUAUGUAACUUCUGAGUAAAACCAUAAAUAAAUCAAAACUUUCAACAACGGAUCUCUUGGUUCUGGCAUCGAUGAAGAACGCAGCAAAAUGCGAUAAGUAAUGUGAAUUGCAGAAUUCAGUGAAUCAUCGAAUCUUUGAACGCACAUUGCGCCCGCCAGUAUUCUGGCGGGCAUGCCUGUUCGAGCGUCAUUUCAACCCUCAAGCACAGCUUGGUGUUGGGACUCGCGUUAAUUCGCGUUCCUCAAAUUGAUUGGCGGUCACGUCGAGCUUCCAUAGCGUAGUAGUAAAACCCUCGUUACUGGUAAUCGUCGCGGCCACGCCGUUAAACCCCAACUUCUGAAUGUGACCUCGGAUCA